rnacentral:tRNA from 1 species
CGGAAGGUGGCUCAGCCUGGUAGAGCACUACGUUCGGGACGUAGGGGUCGUCGGUUCGAAUCCGAUCCUUCCGACCA